rnacentral:sRNA from 1 species
GGCCAGAAAGCACGUCCCAUUUUUCUUCAGACCGAUCUUACACGAGUGACUUGACGAUGACUUUGUUAAGCGCGCGGAAACUCGGGCCGGAUCGCGCCUAAUUUGUGCCUCAUCCAACACCAACUUCGUGACAAGAGGAUAUUCCGUUGCAACUCUCUAACUUUGAAUCGAAUCAACAAUCAACCAUGAGAGGGAAUAUAUAUAGAUUAUUAUCGAGGUAUGUAUAUAUGGAGAACUAAAAUCAGCAUAACUAACACGGGUAUGAAAUGGAAAACAGGCCCACUGAAAUCGAAAACUAUAACUCCUAGACUGGUGACAUGUUCUAUGUGAUCUCUGGAAAAACAAAAAGAAAACUCAAGAAAAGAAUAAAUUUGCAAAAAAUGACAAAACAAUGCUGAGAGGUUCAGUCUACUUCUACCUUUUCGCUAUGACCAAGGUCCGCGGGCUGUGGAGUAGCAUUUUUACUCUCGUUAAUCUCUGAAUCAGCUGGUGUUGAUGUUGGUACUGGUCGACUGUUCACCGCCAUGGCCACCUUUGUCAUCUCGCUGUGUUCGCUAAUUCCAUAAAGAUGAACAGAGGACACAUCAUGGCUUCCUUGGUUCUGUAUAUGACUCUGCGGCGUCCAUGCAAGGUAGUCGCGGCGGACCUCGACAUAAUCAUAUGCAAAUUCCCCGAUUUGGUCGUCGUCCAUUCCCAAUAGCUCUGCCUGUUCUGACGCACGCAAUUUCAGACCUGGGAUCGCGUUGAUGGCGUACGCGAUUAGGGCGGAUACUACGAAGGUGUACGCGCUGGUCGCAAGGAUGUAGGCGAUCUGGAUGUACAUUUGUUUGUAGUUGCCAAUGAGCCAGCCCCCCACACCCGUUCCCGUGUUUACACCGUCGAGCCCGUAAAUCGCGUCGGUGGCGAAGAAACCGUUGAAUAUUAACCCGACAAUGCCGGAAAUGCCGUGCUCAGCGAAGAUAUCCAUGGAGUCGUCGAUACGGAUCCAGUAUUUUAUUUUUGUAGCGUAGUUCGCUACGACUCCCGUAACUAUCCCAAGCACCACACUUGCCCACGGAGGAAUAAAACCGGCGGCAGGAGUUGAUGCAACCAAGCCAGAUAUGGUACCUGAACACCACCCCACCAUAGACCACUUCCGAGCGAGUCGCCAGUCGAAGAGUACCCAAGUAAUAGCCGCAAAGCUGGCGGUCAAAAUGGCAUUCCAGGAUGCGAUGACAGCAAGCAGGUUAGCGCCGAAAGCCGAACCACCGUUGAAUCCCAGCCACCCAAACCACAGGAAGACAGUUCCCAGGACAAUUAGCGAGACAUUAUGUGGUCGGAAGUUGAGCAUCAUGCUCUCCUUGCGACGACCCAAAACCAUCGAAUAUGCAAGCGCAGAUAAACCAGAUCCAAUUUCAACGGGACCCCCUCCCGCAAAGUCCAAGACUCCCCAUUUGUGAGCCCACCCAUUGACAUUCCAUAUCCAACACGUGAGGGGACAAUAGACGAGAGUAGCCCAAAAGAAAGUAAAAACCAUAGCAGGUAACAGACGGCCACGCUCAGCCACGGAUCCCAUUACAAUGGCGGCAGUGACCGCACAAAAUUGCAUCUACCAAACCCUCCUCAGUCAGCGUCAGAUUGCACAACUGUCAUAAUUAAAUUUCCACGCACCUGAAAUAAGGCAUAUAGCAGCUCCGGUAUCAGUGGCGACCCGGGACUCGGAGUUGCGAGCGUCUUCUUGAGGCCAAAGUUUCUCAAAUCGCCAAUAAACCCGUUCUUUGCGGUGGGGGAGAAGGCGAGCGAGUAGCCCCAGAAAUACCACUGGAAAGUGACGAUGGACAUGGACCCCAUACACACCCAGAUCAUACUGAGAGCGGACUUUCGCCUCGCGAGACCUGAGUAGAGGAAGCCCAGGCCGGGAAUCAUGACCAUGACCAUCGCUGAGGCGACGAUUAGGUACGCCUGGUCCCCAGGUUGGAACCAUUUGUUUAAGUUUUCGACUCCUGAGAUUUUAUCGGGGUGGUUAGUGUAUUUGGGAGAUAUCGCUUCUGGGGGUUGGGGAAACUUACGGGAGUUCCCUCCCAGGUCCGAAUCGGUUGUGAGCUCGAAGUUUGCUGGCGCACCGAUCCAGUUGUAGGAUGCAUAGUCGGGGAUAUAGGGGCCCGGAUGAACCGACAUAUUGUUCCCCGGGGAGGUCUACUGCCUGCCUUUCCUGUGUUGGUAAGUUUACCGGGUUCGUCUCUCUUUUAUUUUAUAUUUUGCUUCUCAUUUGUUUCCCUUCGGUGAUUUCCUAGUGAAUGAAAUCCAGUAUAACAAGUUACAGCUUGAAAACUCAAUUUUCUUUUUACAAGCAGGAUGGAGGGCAGCGAGGGAUGAAAUGGGAGAGGAACAGGCGGUCUGGCAGGUAGGGAAAAUAAAAGGAAGGUGAAUAAAGAAAAUUAAGAACUAAGAUACGCAGGAGUAUAUAUCAGGUUUGCAACCUCUAACUAUGGACAGUGAGUGUCGGAGUACCGACUCUUACUCCUACGAGGUUAUUAAAGACGCAAGAUAAGCUCGAAGACUCGAACACAAGGAAGAGAUAACGAAAGAAAUAAACAUUUAAUUGGAUCCCGGGACACGAAAAUCAAUCGGUCUCCCCCUCAAUUCUACAUGGUUAUCAACUAAACGGACACUAUAAAUAGAGAAGAGAUAAAGACGUGGGAGAUAUGGAGAAGAUAACGACCUAGGGGCCUGAUGAUAAAACUAAAACUCGACUAGGUAUUUUAUCAUUCUGGUAACUCCAACAUCUGUCUCCCGAAGCCAAGCCACGGAUCACCCACUUCCUGCCGGCUCCAUGGCCGCUACCAGGUGGACGAAUGGGCAAAGCACCAAAGAGGCCAUGUGUGUUUCUGCUGGACAUGUCUGGCCCUGCACUAGAUCGUCCUGUACGGUGCAUGUAUAUGUCUACAUAUCUUACUCUGUUCCUCUUUCUUAACAUGGAGAAUGCUAGCUCUUGCUACGUCUUUUCAAUGCAUAUCUCAACAUUACGCCGUAGAUAUCAUACCAGGCAUACGGAGUAUACAAAUGACAACGUCGCUGUGUUCAUCUCUCUGCUCAUUGAUUGGCCGAUAACGGGUUGAAACGUCCAAACUGGUGGCGACACUGUUUCUGUGGAACAAAUGGAAAUCUCAAUACCGGACCGCACCACCCCCUAUUCCUCAAAUGGUACUGUCAUAGCGGUACUCUAUAAGUUUCUAGCGUCGGUAAUGACUUUUGGUCCAUCUCCAAACUAGAUCGAUAACGGAGCACAAAGAUAACAACAUGCCAUUGAGCGUUUUUUUUGGACUUUUUCUUUUCUUUUGUUACUGAGGUUAAAUAAUCGGCCAGCCCAGGCCUCCACAAAAAUCGCCGCAGACAAAAGAAAAAAAAGAAAAAACCUCAUCUCUUUCCUGAUAACAAGCUUAAAAGCCGAUGAUAAGUUAGCGUCCUUCCAUUGGGCUCCGCCCGCUAUAUAGAUGCCAUGGAUUAUCGGAAAAGCCACGGAAUGCUUAUUUUCGUUUAGUUAUUAUUUGGUCUCACACAGGAAACGCUCUCCCCUCUAACCGGAUUAUCGGCGGAGAACCACAAUGCAUUGAGGCUGGUGCUGACCGGGUGGUUUCGGAGGCCCAUGAUUCAGUAGAUACCGCUCUGAUAACACUUUACAUUAUUCACUGAAUAUAAGCACUCAAUUGAACGAGCCAUCUUGCUAUCUAUCUAAGUAGGAUCAAGCCACUCCCACAAAUGCGCAACAAUGAUGCAAUUGAAAGUUUGAAGACAUCUCGUCCGCUCUACUGCGGCAUGUCGAUUGCAAAAUACCCGAUGCGGAAGUAAAUCGAUUCAAAACGGGCUCCGUGCUCCUUUGUGGCUCCUACAUCUUCUUUCGAAAAACCAUAAUCAAUUCACAAUAAUCCCCCUUGCCCUCACCCGCUCCUCCACACUCAAUCGAUCAACCACAUCCUCCAUGUUGCCGCGCAUGACCUCCUCCCACUCCUCCUCCUCCAUACCCAUCACCAUCACGAUCUGCAAACACCGUCCAAAGGCCUCACGAUGCCGAUAUCGAGCCCUCCCAUACUGCCUUGCGCCAUCCUCACCCCCGGCGCCACCACCUUUGCGACCACCAUCGUCCCGGCCCACAUCCACCGCUACACUAACUAUCCCCAUGACGUCCCGCUCCAACUGCGUCGCCCCUAACGCAUUCACUCGGCCAUGAUACGACCAGAUACGCUUUUCUAAAAGUCGCGCCAGCGCCGCCACAAUCACGCCAAGUAGCCGCUCAAAGACCCGUCCACUAAGGAUUCGUGCGAUCGGCUCUAGCAGAUCCGCCCACGCUAUCGCAAACCGGUGACGAACGACGUUGCCGUCGGCCUCAUCCAUCAACCCCUCUCCGUUGGCAACAUCGUUCUCAUUAACAACAUCAUCCCGCGGUUGGUACUCGAUGUCACGGAAUGAUUCCGCUAAAAUAGGUCGGAUAUGAGCUUUGAUGACAUUAUUGAACAAGACUUGAAUUCCAUCAUUGACGAGAUCCUGGGCUUUGGACUCGAAUGAUGAGGAGAACGACUUCAGCAUGCUGCCGACUCUCUGGGCCUCGUCGCCGAGCGGGAAGAGGCUGGCGAGCGGAGAUUCGCUGGCUGCGGUGUCCCCGGGUCGAUUACGGCCAAUUUCGGGUUUCGAGGGUUCCACAUGGUUUUUCACGAUGCGUUGGAUGUACUCGAUGGCCACGUCAAGGUUGUUGAGGAGCACUAGGAAAGCAAUGAUGGUGGUUUCAGAUGGAGCGCCACCUGCAGCUCCUCUGGGAUAACUUUCAUCCCGCAUCUUGCGCUGGAUCAUACCGAUGAAAUCAGUGCCAAGAACCCGGGCGAGAGUUGGCGUCACACUGGCCAUGACGUCGUGUUGCGAAGUGCGGAGCGACUGCUGAAGAACCUUGUUGACAAUAUACAUAAUGUCGUCCACGGCCGAAGUGAUGUGUGGCGGGUUAGCGCGCAGGGGUUGGUGUCGGUUUAACGUCAGUUCUGGGGGUCCUUCGUCUAACUGGAAAGCCUUCUCCACCGACCGCCGGAGGAAAAAUGUAGUCAUUGCGUUGAAUGGGUGGAUGAGGCGAUCACUGAUCUUCUGACACAGCGCUGAUUGUGCAAGGAACUCCGGUAAUUUGAAUUCUUCCUCAUCACCGUUCUUUAGUCUUGUUAGUCUACAAUUAUCCGUAGGUAAUAGCACCAGUCAAAGUAGCAAUAAAAAGGUAAAAUGACUUGCCAUGCAUUUAUCAGUUAAGAAGCGGGAAUAUAAGGACCACCUCCCCAACAUAAUAGCCAUCUCAUUCAAAAGUCCAUCAAUCUCCUUCAUAUCCACCCCUUCGUCCUCACUUGAUCGCUGUGAAGCUACAUCGCGAGUAGCCGGCGAGUUCGCUCGAGGUGUGCCCAUACCCCGGGGAGC